rnacentral:rRNA from 1 species
GUGGGGAAUAUUGGGCAAUGGGCGAAAGCCUGACCCAGCAACGCCGCGUGAAGGAAGACGGUCUUCGGAUUGUAAACUUCUUUGAUUGGGGAAGAACACAAUGACCUACCCAAAGAACAAGUCACGGCUAACUACGUGCCAGCAGCCGCGGUAAUACGUAGGUGACAAGCGUUAUCCGGAUUUACUGGGCGUAAAGGGCGUGUAGGCGGCCUUGCAAGUCAGAAGUGAAAUUCUCGGGCUCAACCCGGGCGCUGCUUCUGAAACUGUAGGGCUUGAGUGCUGGAGGGGAUAGCGGAAUUCCUAGUGGAGCGGUAAAAUGCGUAGAUAUUAGGAAGAACACCGGUGGCGAAGGCGGCUAUCUGGACAGUAACUGACGCUGAGGCGCGAAAGCGUGGGGAGCAAACAGG